CCGAAAUGCAGCGGAGCAUGGCGUGGCCCUUGGGCCAAGAUGCCGCUCCGCGAUCAUGCAUUCAUCCACCCUUGAUUUUGAGCACCUUUUUGUUUCCUCGGCAGGGACGCCUGCCAGCGAGGACCCACCAAACCCUUUUUGCAAUAGCAGUUUUUGUCUGACUAUACAUAAAAAAAUUA
rnacentral:misc_RNA from 1 species